rnacentral:tRNA from 1 species
GGCUUGGUGGGUGGUGGUGUCAAUUAAAGUAUUGAUAAGUAAAUAAAAGUUUCGGAUUGCAAAUCCGUUUACAGCGGUUCGAUUCCGCUUGAGGCCUCCA